GGGGAAUAUUGCACAAUGGGGGAAACCCUGAUGCAGCAACGCCGCGUGGAGGAUGACACAUUUCGGUGCGUAAACUCCUUUUAUAAGAGAAGAUAAUGACGGUAUCUUAUGAAUAAGCACCGGCUAACUCCGUGCCAGCAGCCGCGGUAAUACGGAGGGUGCAAGCGUUACUCGGAAUCACUGGGCGUAAAGAGCGUGUAGGCGGAUUUGUAAGUUGGGAGUGAAAGCCUAUGGCUCAACCAUAGAACUGCUUCCAAAACUGCAUGUCUAGAGUGUGGGAGAGGUAGAUGGAAUUUCUGGUGUAGGGGUAAAAUCCGUAGAGAUCAGAAGGAAUACCGAUUGCGAAGGCGAUCUACUGGAACAUAACUGACGCUGAGACGCGAAAGCGUGGGGAGCAAAC
rnacentral:rRNA from 1 species